AUUAUGGUGGCCCUGAAAAGGACCGUUUUAAAACCUUAAAAUUAAUUUGACGAGACCACGUGAUACCCUUUUUAGCAGUGUAGCGCACACAAUUUUGAGCUGAUUAACCUCCGAAAUCGUACAAAGUACGGCCUUGGCGUUUAAGAGCGUAGACGACGUCCAUGGNGGUCACAGUCUUUCUCUUAGCGUGCUCGGUGUAGGUGACGGCGUCUCGAAUCACGUUUUCCAAAAACAUUUAUAAA